CAAGUACUCCCUCCGUACGGAAUUACUUGUCAUCAAAAUGGAUGUGUCUAGAACUAAAAUACAUCUAGAUACAUCCAUUUCAAUGACAAGUAUUUUCGGACGGAGGGAAUACAAG
rnacentral:pre_miRNA from 1 species